GCUGAAACUCGCCUACAUGAAGCUGGAGUUACUAGUAAUCGCAGAUCAGAAUGCUGCGGUGAAUGCGUUCCCGGGUCUUGUACACACCGCCCGUCACACCACGGGCGUUGGAGACGCCCGAAGCCGAUUAUCUAACCUUUUGGAAGAAGUCGUCGAAGGUGGAAUCAAUAACUGGGGUGAAGUCGUAACAAGGUAGCCGUAUCGGAAGGUGCGGCUGGAUCACCUCCUUUCUA
rnacentral:rRNA from 1 species